UAUAAAUGAUUCGGAAAGAAAGACGGGACCAAAAGUGUUUCUCUUCCUGAAGAAAUACAAAGAUUAAGAAAGUAAAGAAAGGAAGAGAGUGGCAGGUGGCAGAUGACUGUGAAAGAGAUGCUGGUUCAUUCUAGUCUGUUCUGGCAAAGGAGAUGGUCUUUGGCCUCCUUUUUUCUUGUUUUCUUCUGGAGCUGGGAGCUGAGUUGCUCUUCUCCCGACAGCAGCAGUGAGCUAAUCAAGACUCAAGACAACCACUGGGGUGGAAGGAGAGUCUAGCUGUCUCUUAGUGCUCUCUCAUCUUUUGUUCAAAAGCCUCCAGACUGAACUGGGCUCUCCCCAAGGCCUGGGUGCCAUGGCAACCGUCACAUGACCCCACAAACAGCUCUGCUGCUGGGGCUGUACUGCUGCUGCCUGCUCCUCUCUGAAGGGACGCUGGAGUUUGUGAUCUGAGAUGCAUAGAGUCCCCCGGCUGACCACCCCGUGGGCUAAUAGGGACCUGCAGAGAGCCUGGGAGAAAACCUACCAGGACCACAGGAAAAAGGUCCAGAAUGCCCAACCACUAGUGGACACCCACCCACCACAGAUUUACAGUCAUCUCUGCCUAAAGUUCAAGAAGUUGAAGAUGGAGGAAGAGAGACUCUCCAUCAUUGACAGGAACAACUACCUGCUUCUGCAGAGGGUGGCCUCCGCCAUGAAAACCAGGGGACAGACUGAUGGCCGAAAUAACUUUACACAGAGAAGGUAACAUUUGCUUUGGCUGGGACUGCAUUCAAGGGACAGAGACCCAGGGCAGGGGACAGGGACAUGGCAACCCAGGGGCAAGCCAAACUCAAAGGGCCCUUAUGCCCCCUGACUCCAAACCUUCCUUGAGGCUCUGAGGUAUAUCAGAGCACACGAAUGGUCCCAGAAUGACCGCAAGCCCAGCCAUAGGCCUGCUGAGGGCCAGGAGCUGUCCACAGAGUCUUCUCGGUCACCAUCCUCAAGGACCAGGCAAGGUGGAGGCUGUGCUUCUUCCCAUUUCAUAGAGGGGGACAUUGAGGGAUGGUGAAGCUGCACAACCUGGCCAAAGUCGCUAUCACCGUGGACGGUGCAGGGUGUGUCCAAGUUGCAGAGCGUGCAACAGCCUUGCAGUGUUAGCUCUGGGAGAGAGCGAAGGGCUCAGACCUGAUACCUGGUCCCCUCUCUGCUGCCGCUGCUCUCUGAAACCUGUGAUUCCCUCAGCUUAGAAUGUUGUUUCCCAAGAGGAUGAAGGGCAGCAUGCCUUGUGUUCCAUGAGACCACCCUGUGAACACUCUCAGGAGUCCUUAGCCCUUGCAAAAGAACGGUGCUGUGUCCUUGGUAGCCACGUGCCCCAGGAAAUAUCUGUAGUUUUUCCUUCUAAGUGCAGAGUCAUGGCGGUGACUGUACAGGGUCACUGCAAUGCAGGCUUUUCUGCAGACAUCCUAGACUCUUUAACCCCUGAGAGAAGUUUCCAGAUUCAUAAUAAGCUAAAUCACAGGCAAGCCAUCGGAUUCAGGGAAGGAACAGAGGUGCCAUGAAUGAGGCUGCUGAUUUGGGGAAUCAUGUCUGUUUCAAGGACACAGAAAACUAGUUGAUUUAGAUAGUAUUAAUACAGCCAGAUAUCUUAUUAAGAAAAAGGCAACACUUUUGGAGAAACUAAACAACCAACAACAGAAGCUAUACAAUAAAAAGUUAAAUCAGGGGAUUUAGUAAAUCUAUGUAUCUUCAUUGAGAUGUACUUGAUACUUGAUAAGCAAUAUCUUACACUUAAGGGAUAUAGUUUAAUGGGUUUGACAUGUCCCACACUGAAACCAUCUCCUUAGUGACAAUGGUGCACACAGCCUUUGCUUCCUAUUCCUCUGGUGCUGGGCAGGAAUCCUCCUGACAGCCAGGCCCUGGAGGUCACACUGGAUGUGGUUGGCUCUGGGACUGCACGCAUGUCCUGCAGAGUGACAUUGGUUUGUUUUAUUGCUGUCUGUUUGUUUUUCAAAGAAAGGGUUUCUACAUAGCCCUGGCUUUCCUGGAACUUAUUAUGUAGACCAGGCUAACCUUGAACUCACAGAGAUCUCCCUGCUUCUGUCUCCCGAGUGCUAGGAUUAAAAGUGUGCACAACCACACCUGUCUAGAUUGGCAUUGUUAAGGACAGCAUUGUGUCAGCCUUGGGCUGCUGAGUGACACCCUCUCCUAGAUGUCAAACUAUUCAUUUCACCUAUCAGUGAGCAUUCUGGUUUGUUUUUGGUCACUACUAAUAAGGUUACAAUGACUGUUUAUGUUUUAAAACAACAACAAUUUAUACUCAUGUCUGCAGAGACUAACAACUCAGUAGAAAAUAGAGAAAGCAAACAAGUCACCCAGAGAGGGCCCCCCUGAAGGAAAAGGUGGGUCUCCUUGAAUAUGACACCAGUAAAAUCUAUGACAGAUGUUAAAUAGAGACAAAACGAAUGCCAUUUAAGGGCUCUGUACAUUGCCACAAGGACACAUUCACACGAGGGAACGUGUAGGAUAUCUAUUGCAUCAAGAGAGGGAACUGCCGUAUUUGAACUGCACUCACCCCAGGCUGCGCCACACAAGACCCACCUUGGAAGCCCUGUUGGAACUGAGGCUGCCUCUUCCCACAGUGGUCUUUCUAAAAUAUGCCUGGGACUGUGGUCGAGCAUUUAGCACUCUCAAGACACCUUAGGCUCUUCAGGCCUCUGGCUGCCAUGCUUCUCCCCAUGGGCGCUGGGCCUUCCUCCUCUUCUCACUGUCAGCCCUCCUCUCCUUCUGAGGUUCUGUUCAGCAUUGCCUCCUGGAUGUCAUCUCAACUCUCCCUUAGGAGCCUGGCAUCUUCACCUCAUGAGCUCCGGGCCCACUCCCUGGUAGACAGGGAUGGGGAGGAACGUUUGUUGAAUGUCUCUCGAUGGGAAGCAAACAAGAGCCCAGAUAUUAGCUAGAGCCUGCCAGGCCUGAGGACACAUGGGCUCCCUUUGGGAAUGCAGAGUAAGCUCUCUGUCCCAUAAUCUUGGUCUACGAAAGAAUGUGUGUAUUCCUUUCUGGAGUCUAAACAGGAAGAGCAGAGAACAGGCAUUUAUGAAGGUGCAGAAACAAAAUCAAGUCUUCCCAGAGAGACUCAGAAGCUCAGAGCCCCGGUACAGAGCACAGAGACGGCGGGAGGACAGGGCUGCCGUGGCCAGCCAUCCCUGCAAGCGCAGACACACCUGGAGAAAAGGAGCUGAGAGGGACGGCCACAGCCUCAUCUGGACGCGCAGCCUGAAGCCAAAGGGGUGAGGGUCAGAACCCAUCCACUGAAAGGAGACCAGGGCCCAGAUGCUCCGAUGAGGCCUUCCUGUGUCUCCUUGGGGUGGGGUGGGGAUGGGGGUGGGGGUGUGCAGGUCUUGGGGCUGGUGGCCUCGCAUCUGAGGCUGGCUUCAUGGCCUCCAGGGACCGUCAUGGGCACUGUGAUGCAGCACUCCGGAGCUGCUCGGUCACAAUCUUCACCAGAUGACAUAGCACAGCUAUUUAUUGUGUUUCUUGGACUGAUAACCAAAAACAAAAUAUGCAGAGUAACACUGGACUUUCUUUUCUAGCUGUUAAUACUUUUCUGAGUUACCAUGAGUUUGGGUGAUUGUAUGUAAUUCUCUUAAAAACAAAAACAAAAACAAAACAAAACAAAGAAAAACAAACCAAAAACCUCUCUGUGACUCUCAGUUUACCAAAUAUGUAAAUCAAUCAACUUGAGAUCUUUAACCCGGAUCCAGAAUACAAGACCCAAAAGGUAAGAACCCAGUGAGUCCUGCAGAGCAACUAAGGAGUGUCUGAGAGUCCCUGUCUCUAGGUAAGAUCACAUUUCAGUUAUAUAACAAUGAGCUGCUGGCCUAUCUGCCUCAGAUGUAACGAAAAAAGACCUCUUGCACACUUUCAUCUGUUCAUCCAGCAAAGGCCUAUGGGGCUUCUGGCCAUGGACGUGAGGAAGAAGCAUGUUCUGUGUAAGCCGGGAUCAGCCAUUUCAGAGGAGAGAAGUCCAAUUAUCCUGUUAUGAGUGUGUGUGUAUGUGUGUGCAUGUGUGUGUGUUUGUAUGUGUGUAUGUAUUGUGUGUGUUUGUAUGUGUGUGCAUGCGUUUGUAUGUGUUUAUGUGUGUUUGCAUGUGUGUGUUUGUAUCUGUAUUUGUAUGUGUGUAUGUGUACACAUGCCCACACAUACGUGUGUGUGCAAGCUAGUUUCAUUUCUUUAUGCUCGAACCCUUGAAUGUCUGCUUGAAGGUCAGUAAUAAGCUGAAUGCUAGCUCCCCAGACUGCAAAGAUCCCUUUAGUGCGCCAUAGAAGGGUGGAAAUAAUGCAAGAGCCGGAGGUGUGCAGCGAAAAGACAUUUUCCGGCUGCGCACGAGGACUCACUGUGGCUCCCUGACGGACUAUUGGCAGUUCCUGGCUACUGGGGAAGGGGAGUUUCAUCUCUUGGAUCCCUGGAAUUUCAUAUUCUUCAGUGGUAUAACUUCAGUGAAUAACUUCCAUGUAUGUUCAUGCAAGUAGCUCUAAUUCAACAAAGUGGCCAACACACUUGCACACACGUGUACACACACACAAACACACAGAUGAAAUAGGGCUGGAGAGAUUGCUCAGUGGUUAGGAGCACAGUCUGUUUUUUCCAGAGGACCCAGGCACAUGAAUACACAUAUGCGCACACACACACACACACACACACACACACAAAAGUAUAUGAAAGGGGGCUGCAGAGACGACGCAGUGGUUAGGAGCACAGUCUAUUUUUCCAGAGGACCCAGGUCCUGUUUCUAGCACACACAUAGGAUCUCACAACCCUCCCUAUCUCCAAUUCCAGGGACUCAAAUGCCUCCUUCUGGCUUCCAUGGGCACUAUAAAUAUACAUGUAGUUCAUACAUUCAUAUACAUAAAUUACAAUGAAAUAAAUCUUUACAAAAUGAUAAAAGUAGGAAAAAGACUUGCUAGGAAGAAGAGUUUCAGUAGGAGAGAGGGGGAUGAGAGAGGAUAGUGGGGGACUAUAAAACACCUCAAAUAUAUUAUAGACGUCGAUGAAACUGUCAAAGAAUAAAACAUUUAAAGAAUGGAAAGACUGUAUCCAAUCACUGGGCUCAUCACUUUCUGAGUCAGGAGUUCUUGAAAGCAUUAGAUCCGGGCUAUUAUUUUGUUUGUUUUUCCAAGACAGGGUUUCCCU